UGGAAUGAAGAAACCUUCUCUUUCAGGGUCAAGAAAGCACAGAUAUAAAAGUAUGAAUUUUCGCUCUCAAAUACUUCCUGUGACCUGUGGUGAGAUAAAGGGGAUGUUACAUAAGAAGAAAUUGAAACAAGGAAUCUUGGUGAAGUGCAUACACAGUGAGGAGGGAAGAUGGUUCACCCCCAGGGAAUUUGAAAUCAGAGGAGGCUAUGCAAGAUCUAAGAACUGGAAGCUAAGUGUGCGCUGUGCUGGGAGGCCCCUACGAUGGCUGAUAGAG